CACGCCUCCUGGGCGCAGAGGCGACGCCGGCUGCGGUCUCUUAGGAGAUUUCUCCGCAGUGGGGACAGGGGUCAGGAUUUGCAGACGGGCAAGGACGAAGAGGAGAAAUCAUACAGGAACUAAGGCCCCCCACCCAGGUGAAGGAUAGUUACAUCAGGCUGAGCACAAGAGUCCUGGAACACGGCCCUGUUACCUCACCAAUCAGAAGAAAGUCUGCACACAUUGGAAGAUAAAGAAGACUCUGACCGCCUUCCCAAAAUGAAUAAUUGCAAUUAACUUUCCCUUUUUCCCUUUAAAAAUUUUCAUGGUUGAGCAGAAUCUUCGAAGUUGGUUCCUAGACAUGAGUCUCCCUUCUCUCCAGGUUGCCUGCCUCCUUAAUAAAGUAGCAUUUCCUUUUCAA